rnacentral:rRNA from 1 species
GACGAACCAUGCAAACGUUAUUCGGAUUCACUGGGCUUAAAGCGUGCGUAGGCGGUCUUGUUAGUCAGGUGUGAAAGCCCUCAGCCUAACUGAGGAAUUGCGCUUGAUACUGCAUGACUAGAGAAUGAUAGAGGUGGGUGGAACUGAUGGUGGAGCGGUGAAAUGCGUUGAUAUCAUCAGGAACACCAGUGGCGAAGGCGACCCACUGGGUCAUUUCUGACGCUGAGGUACGAAAGCUAGGGUAGCGAACGGGAUUAGAUACCCCGGUAGUCCUAGCCGUAAACGAUGAGCACUAGGUCGAGGGCCUCCACAGGCUCUUGGCCGUAGCGAAAGUGUUAAGUGCUCCGCCUGGGGAGUAUGGUCGCAAGGCUGAA